rnacentral:rRNA from 1 species
AGUGAACGCUGGCGGUAGGCCUAACACAUGCAAGUCGAACGGCAGCACAGUAAGAGCUUGCUCUUACGGGUGGCGAGUGGCGGACGGGUGAGGAAUACAUCGGAAUCUACUUUUUCGUGGGGGAUAACGUAGGGAAACUUACGCUAAUACCGCAUACGACCUACGGGUGAAAGCAGGGGAUCUUCGGACCUUGCGCGAUUGAAUGAGCCGAUGUCGGAUUAGCUAGUUGGCGGGGUAAAGGCCCACCAAGGCGACGAUCCGUAGCUGGUCUGAGAGGAUGAUCAGCCACACUGGAACUGAGACACGGGCCAGACUCCUACGGGAGGCAGCAGUGGGAAUAUUGGACAAUGGGCGCAAGCCUGAUCCAGCCAUACCGCGUGGGUGAAGAAGGCCUUCGGGUUGUAAAGCCCUUUUGUUGGGAAAGAAAAGCAGCAGGUUAAUACCCCGCUGUUCUGACGGUACCCAAAGAAUAAGCACCGGCUAACUUCGUG